UGGGAGUUAAGGACUUGAGCACAUAGAAACCUGACUAGGUGCACAUCGUUUAGUGUAACAAUCUGAUGCCUUCAGCUGUACUUGCUUUGGAUAGUUUCUUUUACUAGGCCAUUUCUAGGAUACCAGACAGUAUCAGAUUGGCUGGAUAUGGACAUCGAGAUGAGGAUUCCAAUACCCCUAUAUCUAGAUACAGAUAAUACGGACCUUAGAAGCAGGGAACUUCCAUUUAGGGUGCACAUCUGCGUUGGAUGCUCCUCGGAAACUCAUCCUGAGCCCGUGUAAAAUUUUCUUAUCAAAAAAAUUAUAUUAAUGCUGCCUCUGGGGUGUUCCCGCACCCACUUCUUGUAGGUAAGAUAUGGACACAGUUUUCAGCAUAUCAUAUUGAAGGUUCUUUUUUAAUCUUUCCAAUGCUUGGUGGUUCUAAAUUAGUUAUAUGACUAGUUUCAUAUUGUCU
rnacentral:lncRNA from 1 species